CUACACUACACAAAAAAAACACUUUGAAACAAUUUAACAAUCGGUCGAUUUGGUAUUAUGCUUGUAAAUUCCAUCGAUUCAUCAAUUAAAUUAAUUAAGACUAAUCAGCAUCAAAAAUGAUUAAAAUGACAUUUUUUUGUAUUUCAAUAUCUUUGGCAUUAGUAAAUAAUUUGGUAGCUGUAUUGGAUCGAGAUUAUCGCAUGGACGUUGAGAAAGCAAACGCAGAAAUCGAGAUAGCAAGAAAUCAAGGUGUUUUGCCGGACCUAAUUCAAACCAUUGUUCGUGGAAAUUAUAC